rnacentral:rRNA from 1 species
GACGAACGCUGGCGGCAGGCCUAACACAUGCAAGUCGAGCGGAGCGGCGGACGGGUGAGUAAUGACUAGGAAUAUGCCUGGUAGUGGGGGAUAACGUCCGGAAACGGGCGCUAAUACCGCAUACUAGCAGAUGAGCCUCGGUCGGAUGAGCUAGUUGGUGGGGUAAAGGCCUACCAAGGCGACGAUCCGUAACCGGUCUGAGAGGAUGAUCAGUCACACUGUACUGAGACACGGCCCAUACUCCUACUGGAGGCAGCAGUGGGGAAUAUUGGACAAUGGGCGAAAGCCUGAUCCAGCCAUGCCGCGUGUGUGAAGAAGGUCUUCGGAUUGUAAAUCACUGUAAGUUGGGAGGCGUUACCAACAGAAUAAGCACCGGCUAACUUCGUGCCAGCAGCCGCGGUAAUUC